GGGGACUUCACCGUGCAGCAGUAGGAGAAGUCAGUCAUCGACUAACGGGAAGUUUGAGCGAGUGAAGCUUUUAAAUAGAUGUGUGAAUUUCAACAUUUCACGGCACAUUAAUAUGGUUCCUUAACUGAUGUUUAGAAUGAACUCCCAAUUCCCGUUGAGAGGCAGGUAAAACAUUCUGUGCCCCUCAACUCACACCUUAAUUGCUCUAGAAUUUUUAGGGUGUGAUUUUUGGACUGAAGUUAAAGUAAAAAAAAACACAGUAAAUGCCACCAGAAACCCAAUAAAAUCGAUGAAAAACUACACACAACAAACCACUGAAGCAACACACACAAAAUGCUGGAGGAACUCAGCAGGUCAGGCAACAUCCAUGGAAAUGAACAGUCGACGUUUCGGGCCGAGACCCUUCUUCUGGACUGUGAAGGAAGGGGGAAGACGCCAGAAUAAGAAGAUGAGGGAAGGGGAAGGAGGUUAGCUGGAAGGUGAAGCCAGGCGGAUGGGAAAGUGGAUGCCUACAAGAAAAUGAAUAUCGGGAUUGUAUAUGGUGACAUGUACAGUAUGUACUUUGAUAAUAAAUUUACUUUGAACUUUGAAC